CAUCCUCCUGCUUCAUCCUCAUCCUCCUGCUUCAUCCUCAUCAUCAUCAUCAUCCUGCUUCAUCCUCAUCCUCAUCCUCCUGCUUCAUCCUCAUCCUCCUGCUUCAUCCUCAUCAUCAUCCUGCUUCAUCCUCAUCCUCAUCCUCCUGCUUCAUCCCCUCCUCCUGCUUCAUCCCACAUCCUCAUCCUCCUGCUUCAGCCCCAUGUUCAUCCUCCCGCUUCAUCCCCAUCCUUGUGCUUCAUCCCCAUCCUCCUGCUUUAUCCCCAUCCUUCUGCUUCAUCCUCAUCCUCGUGCUUCAUCCCACAUUCUCAUCCUCCUGCUUCAUCCCCAUCCUUGUGCUUCAUCCUCAUCUGCCUGCUUCAGCUCCAUCCUCAUC
rnacentral:lncRNA from 1 species